rnacentral:lncRNA from 1 species
UGUCACUAGUAAGGUUUUUCUAAAAAAAAUUGUUUGCAGCAAAUAACGCAAAGACAUAUACAAGAAGACAAACGAAGGGGGUCCUAGAAAUGACAUAAAUCCGGCUGAGAAUUAUUGUUGCGAGCCACACUUGUUAAAGCGGACCAUCGCCAGAGUCGUCUAGUAGUCCUAGCAAAGAAAAAGAAAGGUAUCGUCUGUAGCGAGUAAAACAAUCUCCUCUUCGCAAAAGGAAUCAUCACGCAUCCGUUGUCUCCCCACCAUUAGUUCGUCCUCUCUCAAUCCGUCCAGAUCGUGGAGCUGGAGAUCUGUUCCAUAUGCUGCAAGAGUACAAGUAUCAUACGGGCAUUACAGUGUACACCCAC